rnacentral:misc_RNA from 1 species
UCCCUUUCCAACAAGAAACUUGUAUGUUCACUUUAACUCAUCCUAGGAGAUCCAGAGAGAACAGGCCUGUCAUUAAGAAGCCUUCACCUUUGCCUGCUUCCAAGCAAUCCUGUAAAUCUUUGGAUCUUCAUUUAGGCCUUGGUUUGCAAUCAAAUAGAACUGGGAUAUAACAUGUUCCAGUUUAGAUUAAAAGCCCCACACGUUUCUUUCAACUCUCGACGGGUGGGAGACAAUACACAAGAAAUUCG